GACGAACGCUGGCGGCGUGCCUAAUACAUGCAAGUAGAACGCAGUUGCGAACGGGUGAGUAACGCGUAGGUAACUGCCUCAUAGCGGGGGAUAACUAUUGGAAACGAUAGCUAAUACCGCAUACUGUGAGAUGGACCUGAGUUGUAUUAGCUAGUUGGUGAGGUAAAGGCUCACCAAGGCGACGAUACAUAGCCGACCUGAGAGGGUGAACGGGCCAACCUGGAACGAGGACACGCCCCAACUCCUCCCGGAGGGAGCAGUAGGGAAUCUUCGGACAUGGGCGGAAGUCUGACCGCACACAGCCGCGUGAGUGAAGAAGGUUUUCCGGUCGUAAAGCUCUGUUGUUAGAGAAGCGGUAACUACCCAAAAAGCGACGGCUAACUACGUGCCAGCAGCCGCGGUAAUAC
rnacentral:rRNA from 1 species